AGCGAACGCUGGCGGCAGGCUUAACACAUGUAAGUCGAGCGGGCACUUUCGGGUGUCCGCGGCGGACGGGUGAGUAACGCGUGGGAACGUGCCCUCUGGUUCGGAAUAACUCAGGGAAACUUGAGCUAAUACCGGAUACGCCCUUUUGGGGAAAGGCUUGCUGCCGGAGGAUCGGCCCGCGUCUGAUUAGCUAGUUGGUGAGGUAACGGCUCACCAAGGCGACGAUCAGUAGCUGGUCUGAGAGGAUGAUCAGCCACACUGGGACUGAGACACGGCCCAGACUCCUACGGGAGGCAGCAGUGGGGAAUAUUGGACAAUGGGCGCAAGCCUGAUCCAGCCAUGCCGCGUGAGUGAUCAAGGCCUUAGGGUUGUAAAGCUCUUUUAUCCGGGACGAUAAUGACGGUACCGGAGGAAUAAGCCCCGGCUAACUUCGUG
rnacentral:rRNA from 1 species